rnacentral:rRNA from 1 species
GAUGAACGCUGGCGGCGUGCCUAAUACAUGCAAGUCGAGCGAACAGAUAAGGAGCUUGCUCCUUUGACGUUAGCGGCGGACGGGUGAGUAACACGUGGGUAACCUACCUAUAAGACUGGGAUAACUUCGGGAAACCGGAGCUAAUACCGGAUAACAUUUGGAACCGCAUGGUUCUAAAGUGAAAGAUGGUUUUGCUAUCACUUAUAGAUGGACCCGCGCCGUAUUAGCUAGUUGGUAAGGUAACGGCUUACCAAGGCGACGAUACGUAGCCGACCUGAGAGGGUGAUCGGCCACACUGGAACUGAGACACGGUCCAGACUCCUACGGGAGGCAGCAGUAGGGAAUCUUCCGCAAUGGGCGAAAGCCUGACGGAGCAACGCCGCGUGAGUGAUGAAGGGUUGCGGCUCGUAAAACUCUGUUAUUAGGGAAGAACAAAUGUGUAAGUAACUGUGCACGUCUGGACGGUACCUAAGCAGAAAGCCACGGCUAACUACGG